GGGCCCAUGGUCCAAUGGCUACGACACCUGCUUGACGUGCAGGAGAUAGGAGUUCGAUUCUCCUUGGGCCCA
rnacentral:tRNA from 1 species